CAGCCGCCGCGGGAAUACGGAGGGUGCAAGCGUUAAUCGGAAUUACUGGGCGUAAAGCGCACGCAGGCGGUCUGACAAGUCAGAUGUGAAAUCCCCGGGCUUAACCUGGGAACUGCAUUUGUGACUGUAUAGCUAGAGUACGGCAGAGGGGGAUGGAAUUCCGCGUGUAGCAGUGAAAUGCGUAGAUAUGCGGAGGAACACCGAUGGCGAAGGCAAUCCCCUGGGCCUGUACUGACGCUCAUGCACGAAAGCGUGGGGAGCAAACAGGAUUAGAUACCCCCGUAGUCCCUGUCUCUUAUAC
rnacentral:rRNA from 1 species